rnacentral:rRNA from 1 species
UACGUAGGGUGCAGGCGUUAAUCGGAAUUACUGGGCGUAAAGCGUGCGCAGGCGGUCUGCUAAGAGAGAUGUGAAAUCCCCGGGCUUAACCUGGGAACUGCGUUUCUAACUGGCAGGCUUGAGUGUGGCAGAGGGGGUGGAAGUUCCGACGUGAGCAGUGAAAUGACGUAGAGAGUGUGGAGGAAGCACCGAUGGCGAAGGCAGCCCCCUGGGCUAACACUGACGCUCAUGCACGAAAGCGUGGGGAGCAAACAGG